AACUAGAGAAAGCCCGGGCGCAGCUACAAAGACCCAACGCAGCCAAAAAUAAAAUUAAUUAAUUAAUUUUUUUAAAAAGAAAAGAAACUGCACACACUCGGUUGAACAGAGCCUGAUGUUCUGAGGACUCAAGUCCAGAAGACAGCUUCUCAGAUCGCUCUGAGGGACUGCUCCAAAGAGGAUUGACCUUCGAGAAAACCCAAUGGAUAAUUCUGAUUUUAUAUUACUCACUGAUGGUUCAUAUCUACAAGGACCUCAUGGAAGGUAACAGGCUGGCUAUGCCAUUGUUUCUCCAGUGUCUAUCUUUGAAAAUGGUCCCUUGCCUUAUAUCUAUUCCACCCAACAGGCUGAAUUAAUAGCACUAAUAAGAGCCUGUUGGUUGGCAAAAGGAAAAUUUGUUAAUAUUUACACAGCUAGUAUGCCUUUGGAGUGGCAUAUGAUUUUGGUAUGCUUUGGAAACAAAGAGGACUUUUUUUUUUUUUUUGGGCCUCGCUGCAUGUGGAAUCUUAGUUACCCAACCAGGAAUCGAACCCACAUCCCCUGUAUUGGAAGUAGAGUCUUAACCACUGGACAGCCAGGGAAGUUCCAAAGAGGACUUUUUAACAUCCUCAGGACAGUGUAUCAAAAAUGGGAAACAGACACAAAUGAACCUAUCUACAAAACAGACAAACUCACAGACAUAGAGAAUAGAC